GAUGAACGCUGGCGGCGUGCCUAAUACAUGCAAGUCGAGCGGACAGAUAAGGAGCUUGCUCCUUUGACGUUAGCGGCGGACGGGUGAGUAACACGUGGGUAACCUACCUAUAAGACUGGGAUAACUUCGGGAAACCGGAGCUAAUACCGGAUAACAUUUGGAACCGCAUGGUUCUAAAGUGAAAGAUGGUUUUGCUAUCACUUAUAGAUGGACCCGCGCCGUAUUAGCUAGUUGGUAAGGUAACGGCUUACCAAGGCGACGAUACGUAGCCGACCUGAGAGGGUGAUCGGCCACACUGGAACUGAGACACGGUCCAGACUCCUACGGGAGGCAGCAGUAGGGAAUCUUCCGCAAUGGGCGAAAGCCUGACGGAGCAACGCCGCGUGAGUGAUGAAGGGUUUCGGCUCGUAAAACUCUGUUAUUAGGGAAGAACAAACGUGUAAGUAACUGUGCACGUCUUGACGGUACCUAAUCAGAAAGCCACGGCUAACUACGUG
rnacentral:rRNA from 1 species